CCUACGGGACGCAGCAGUGGGGAAUAUUGCACAAUGGGGGGAACCCUGAUGCAGCAACGCCGCGUGAAUGAAGACGGUUUUCGGAUUGUAAACUUCUGUUCCUAGUGAAGAAUAAUGACGGUACCUAACGAGCAAGCCACGGCUAACUACGUGCCAGCAGCCGCGGUAAUACGUAGGUGGCAAGCGUUAUCCGGAAUUACUGGGUGUAAAGGGAGCGCAGACGGCAAGCCAAGUCUGGUGUGAAAGCCAGGGGCUUAACUUGUAGACUGCUGUGGAAACUG
rnacentral:rRNA from 1 species